UUUAUAAUCAGGUUUUGUAUGUAUACAUGAAGGUUUGAGCUUUGAGAAUACGAAAGUGGCUGAUCUUGAAACACUUAUCGGUUCUCUGUAAGAGUAGUUGCUGGAAAUAUUGGACCAGGAAGCAGCAGAUAAAACAAUCAGUUACUACACGUAUAUUCUGUUCAUUUUGAAAUCAAAAUUAAUUCAAAUAGAUCUUCAAUAUGGCCCAGAGCAUUUUCCUUAUUUUUCUAAUCCGGUUACAGUAACUGUUACCCUUCAAAUUAAUCUAAUUUUUUGCGAAACUCGUUCUUUAUUUUAUAUCAUUCAAUUAAAGCUCUCCUUGUUUUAUCUCUCCCCAAUCAACACUGUAGUUUUUACUGCUGCAGCCCCCUAGUGGUUACUUCACUACAAGUACAAAAGUUCAACUCACUUUUGUCCUAUUGGACUCCCUCCACAUAGUCAGAAUUUGUCCUGUUUUGGUGGAAUUAACCCUUUUUUCUUCCAGUUUUAGUCUGUUUUUGCAGGUUAUUUUGCAGGUUGUUCCACACAGAAGCUAUCCUAGGAGGCUGCCAAGAAGAGAGAGAGGAAACGAGAACUGGAAGUUCAGCCCAUGAAAGUCCAGAACACUCUGGCCUACAUCAUGGACUUGGACCCACACCCAAUGAGGAGAAGAUGGAGUUCUUGUUUCUUUAGAAAGUUUGUGAUGUGUCGCACCACAUUGGAUGCCGAAGAAGUUGGCCAAAGACCUUUGGAGAAGCAAUUCUUUUUUGUCAUUGUUUAUAAUUGUAGAGAGUGUAAUAUGUCAUGUUAGAUUAUAGUUUCAGUUCCUGUAUGUGUAUAUAGUUAUAGUUCCUGUAUGUGUAUAGUUAUAUAAGUUUUAUAUUUAUAACAAGUGAAACAUCAUGGCAAAGCCAUGAUGUUUCACUUGUGAGAGUAAAUCUGUCGGGCCUCACCUUGACACUCAGGCAACAACCCUGAGUGCCACAUGGCCAGACAGGACACAUGUAAAAUAAAAAACAUAGCAAAAUUUUUUAUUUUAUUUAUAUUCUUUAAAUGUUGUAAUUUUAGUUCAUUGUAAACUUUACCUGCAAAAACCUUGUAGAAAUCUUUAACAUUGUUCAAUAUAUAUUUAAACUGUGAUCUGUUGUGUGUGUGGGUUAUUUAAUUAAAAUUUUUUCUUUGUCACUAUUAUUAAGUAUAUUAUUAAAUAGCCCUCUCAUUUUAGCUUAUACACUUACUUUAUC